rnacentral:lncRNA from 1 species
UUUAUCUCAAAAUUCUGUAAAGGCAAUUGGCAACUUAUCUAGCUCAUAAAAUCUUGCAAUUUGAUCUAGGAGAACGUAUGCACUCCAGCAAAUGCGUACGGCGGUGCAGUGGGCGUAUUGUGUCGAGUGAUAUCCAGAUGGUCGGCAUUGGUUUCUAAUUUGACGUACUGAAGCCGUCUGGAACAAGAGUGCUAAGAGCCAAGCCAUGGGGAAGAAAAUUCAUUCUCUCUGUUCACAUGACCAGUGUAACAGCCAAAAUAACAAGGGCUUUGUUGUUGUUGCUUAGACGUUUUGAUGUUCGAAUUUUGAUAAGGAUGUAGAUCCUGCCAAUACGGAAGUUCAGCCAAUGUUGUAGCACGACAAGUUGAUGCCCUAGUUACGUCGUGCGGUUCGGGUUAGUUUCACCGAGAUGAGGAAAAGCAUCAUUCUUCUGUUGUUUUUAACUAUUGCCUUCUUUAACUCCUUUGUUUGUCUUCGAAUGAGGUAAUAAUUCAGCAAACACAAGAAUGAUGCUGGAUAUGUUUUAUUUACAGUGACAACAUAACAUCGGUGGCAUUCCCUUCGGACACCGAGUGAUCCCAAGGCAUCAGGUACAUCCAGGAUAUCUGCAAGUACAAUUUAAAAAUUUAUUCUGUUAACCCCUAACGAUCAAUCCAGGACUUGGUUUUCUUGUCUAGUCGUCUAAGGCGGUCUAAGGGUCUAAACGUUACAAUCAGGUUGCAAAAAAUAUUGCAGAGAUAAAUUACUUGCUUUAAAAACAAUAUUUAGUAGCAAAGCUGGGUGCAUAAAACAUGCAUUUUAAUCUAGACAAAUGAGAAUACGAAUUCAUUACUUGGGAAACUGCUACGAAUUGUGAUUAUUCCCCUCGCGCUAGGGAGUGCGUGGAACAUCAUUCAGAGAACUACGCUAGUGCCUGAUGACAUCCAUAGGGCUUGUACCAUUUGCCUCGGAAGGUGUAUAAAUGCCUGGUAGUAUUCCAAUGUUUGCUAUCACUUACCGAGUUGAGCUCAGCAACAGCAGAACAGCAAGAAAUCAAUCUUUUCUUUAGAAUGAAACAGCAGACGUUCGCUGUAAUUGUCUUGGUAGUAUUGUGUUCAGUUCAACCUUAGCUUAAAGAAACUGGUGAUGAUAGUUUUGCUCCUCUAACGAAAACAUCGGAAGAAGAAAACUCGCCUGUGUCCCGCCUUAACAUUGUUGAAGACGCAACGGGUAGACAGUCUUUGCCAAUGCUUCCUCAACCAUGCUCAACCAAGAAUUACCAUAGGGUCUACUGUACGUCUAGGUGUAAAGGUGUUCCGUAGGCCUAUAAUAGGCCUAUCGUGAAACAAACUCGAUUCACCAUGACACGCUUGUUUUUUACACAAGUUUUAUAAAGAGAAACAUGUUAAAUGCGAAGGGUUAACGAGAACAUUUUUGUAUGAAACAUAUCAUUUGACAUUAAUGUUAUACUUCAAGAACGACUGUGAUGAACGAAUAAAUAUGGGAGAUGAAAUGUU